GGGCGGGUGCCCGAGCGGCCAAAGGGAGCGGUCUGUAAAAUCGCCGGCACAGCCUACGGAGGUUCGAAUCCUCCCCCGCCCACCG
rnacentral:tRNA from 1 species